rnacentral:rRNA from 1 species
UGGGGAAUAUUGCGCAAUGGGGGGAACCCUGACGCAGCCAUGCCGCGUGAAUGAAGAAGGCCUUAGGGUUGUAAAGUUCUUUCGGUAUUGAGGAAGGUUGAUGUGUUAAUAGCACAUCAAAUUGACGUUAAAUACAGAAGAAGCACCGGCUAACUCCGUGCCAGCAGCCGCGGUAAUACGGAGGGUGCGAGCGUUAAUCGGAAUAACUGGGCGUAAAGGGCACGCAGGCGGUUAUUUAAGUGAGGUGUGAAAGCCCCGGGCUUAACCUGGGAAUUGCAUUUCAGACUGGGUAACUAGAGUACUUUAGGGAGGGGUAGAAUUCCACGUGUAGCGGUGAAAUGCGUAGAGAUGCGGAGGAAUACCGAAGGCGAAGGCAGCCCCUUGGGAAUGUACUGACGCUCAUGUGCGAAAGCGUGGGGAGCAAACAGGAUUAGAUACCCUGGUAGUCCACGCUGUAAACGCUGUCGAUUUGGGGGUUGGGGUUUAACUCUGGCGCCCGUAGCUAACGUGAUAAAUCGACCGCCUGGGGAGUACGGCCGCAAGGUUA